rnacentral:tRNA from 1 species
GCUGGGUUCGAAUAACGGUUAGUUCGUGGCACUUUCUAUGCUAAAAUACGGGUUCGAUUCCCGUACCCAGUA